GGUCCCGCCUGCCCAGUGACAAAUUUUAACGGCCGCGGUAUUCUAACCGUGCAAAGGUAGCGUAAUCACUUGUCUCCUAAAUAGAGACCAGUAUGAACGGCUAAAUGAGGACAAACCUGUCUCUUGCAACCAAUUAGUGAAACUGAUCUUCCAGUACAAAAGCUGGAAUAUAUACAUUAGACGAGAAGACCCUGUGGAGCUUUAAACAAAACACCAACAAACACACCAAACCAUUUAUUCUGGUGCCUAGUUUUAAGUUGGGGCGACUUUGGAACAAAACAAAACUUCCAAGCACAGAACAAAAACUUUCUAGCCAAGGCCAACAAGCCAAAGCCAAAAAUACGACCCAGUCACACUGAUCAACGAACCAAGUUACCCCAGGGAUAACAGCGCUAUCUUCUUCAAGAGUCCCUAUCGACAAGAAGGUUUACGACCUCGAUGUUGGAUCAGGACACCCAAAUGGUGCAGCCGCUAUUAAAGGUUCGUUUGUUCAACGAUU
rnacentral:rRNA from 1 species